rnacentral:lncRNA from 1 species
GGUCCUGGUCGCUGGAGCCAUGAUGGCUGGAGUUGUGAUCUGGAGGAAGAAGCGCCCAGUGAAAGAGGAGGGAGCUACACUCAGGCUGCAGGCAGUGACAGUGCUCAGGGCUCUGAUGUGUUUCUUCCAAUGGAUCCUAGAGUGUGAGACAGCUGCCUUGUGGGGACUGACUGACACAAGAUUUGUUCACGUCCCACUUUGUGACUUCAGAUCCCCUGACUCCUAUUUCUGCAGCUGCCUCUGAAAGAGUCUGUGUUUCUAUGAGCAUCAUGAAGGGGGUGGGGACCCUGGCCUAGCCCUGCCCCCCAUGUCCCCUUCUCACCCUGACCUGUGUUCUCUUCCCUGAUCCACUUUUCAGCUCCAGCAGGUGGGGGCUGGAAGAUCUAAGUUGACCCCCACUGUCCCCUCCUCUGGUCCCCAAGCCCCUGUGUAAUCCUGACUUUUGGGGCAUCCGCUGGCCCUAGUGACUCGCUGGGAACAAACACAUAGGGGAUGUUUGGAAAAGUCUGUCUUGGGAUCUCCGGUCGGGGUUGGGGGAGGAGAUACGAGGGACCUGGGGUCAGUCGUCUCAGGGCGGAUAGUCCAGGCCAGGCUGGGGAGCAGAGAUUCCUGAAGGGUCCCCGUGACAGGUGACGCUGCAGCCCUUUCCCACCUGAGGGGUUCUUUCUCUAGGUCUCAGCCUCCACAGCCCCUGCCGUCGGACAGGAGGAGGAGGAGAGACCAGCAGCAGAGACUCCCAUCCUGCCUGAAAUAUCCGGGGAACCGUGGGUAGAAAGGACGGGAAGGGAAGGGGAGAGUCCCGGUGACCCCAACACUCUGAGGGAAGCCCCAGGGCUGGAAAGAAGAGGAGGGUGACAGGUUCCAGGCUCCCUGUGCCGCCCCCUCUGGCCCAGCUCUCUUUCUCAACUCACACUAAGGUCCUGGAGCCCACAGUGGUGACCCUGUAAAUACCUCUGGGCCCAUCUCCAGAACAGCCCACCCUGGCCGCACAUCCUAGGAAAUCCUAUCCUCCCUGCAUGUGUGAACUCAGAGGCUGCAGCAGAAACCCGCAUACCACUGGUCUCCCAGGACGGAAGCUGGUGUGUGUCCCAUGGCAGUGAGGCAGGCAGCUCCAGGGCUGCUGGGGUGGCUCUGCACCGCAAGAGAGUCCAGGCAUCCAGGUCCCUGUGACCGUCCCUCCCUGCUGUCUCUGGGGUGGUGCCCUUAUUAGGAUGACCCAAGGUUCCCAAGGCCAUGUUCAUGGACCAUGAGCAACCAGGCAGAGCAGGGGAGGAGGCAAAGUCACGUGGCAUGUGCUUGGGUGGCCAAAUGCAUCAUCAAUAAGCAGGAGUAUUUUGUUUGUUUGCUCAUUUUUAGGGCCCCACGCAUGGCAUAUGGAGGUUCCCAGGCUAUGGGUCAAAUUGGAGCUGUAGCUGCUGGCCUUCUCCACACCACAGCAAUGCCAGAUCCGAGCCACAUUUGCAACCUAUACCACAGCUCAUGGCAACUCCAGAUCCUUAACCCUCUGAGCAAGGCCAGGGAUGGAACCCACAACCUCAUGGUUCCUAGUCGGAUUCGUUUCUGCUGCGCCACAAUGGGAACUCCUAAGCGGUCUUAUCUUGAAAGGAACUUUUCUUCUGCGCAGUAGUUCUCAACAGUGGGCAUCGCAUAUACAGUCCACCGUGUUGUAAACAGAUGUGCUGUCACCUAGGCUUUGUUGUUCCAUUUCUAGAGCAUAGGCAGGGCGGCUAUAAUAUCCAUCUUAACGGCCCUAGGGUUUUCUGAAUGGCAAAUGAGCAUUGGCUUCGAUUUCAGGUGCUAGUUGCCUAAAAGGAGCUUCCCAUAGUUAAACUUGUGGUUUCAAAACAUGCUGGGAAAUGUUCGCUGAUGGUUCCGUUGUGAAAGAACGUUUUGUUGCAAACAAUAUGGCCAAGCACUACAAGAUUCCCGUAUCCUCCAUCUGUAUCUGUCAUUACCAGCAGAUACACGCUGAUUUCGGACGUUGUCUGUUCAGAUCCUCAUUGAGGCAGGGACAGAGCAAUUGGCAGCCAGAUUUUCCUUUCUUUCUCUUUUGUUUCUUUUCUGUGGCCACACCUGUGACAUAUGGAAGUUCCCAUGCCAGGAGUGGAAUUAGAGCUGCAGCUGAGGCCUAUGCCACAGCCAUAGCAACUCUGGAUCCCAGCCACAUCUGCCACCUCUGCUCCAGCUUGCAGCCAUGUCGGAGCCUUAACCCAAUGAGCAAAGCCAGGGAUUUAACCCGCAACAUCACGGAGACAACCUUGGCUCUUUAACCCACUGAUCCACAAUGGGAACGCCGCAGCCAGAUCUUUUCUAGGUGGUGAGGGCCCAAAGGUUUUGACUAAUAUGUUCUAUUACAGUUCAGGCCACAUUUGACUCAUGGGACCGAAGGGAAUGAGUUUUGUGGGUUAAGGAUAUAGAUAGAGGAUGUUCCAACAGUUUUAGUUAGAAAUAGACAUGAGUAGUUCCCGUCGUGGCGCAGUGGUUAACGAAUCCGACUAGGAACCAUGAGGUUGCGGGUUCGAUCCCUGCCCUUGCUCAGUGGGUUAAGGAUCCGGCGUUGCCGUGAGCUGUGUUGUAGGUUGCAGACGCAGCUCGGAUCCCGCAUUGCUGUGGCUCUGGCGUAGGCCGGUGGCUACAGCUCCGAUUCAACCCCUAGCCUGGGAACCUCCAUAUGCCGCCGGAGCGGCCCAAGAAAUAGCAAAAACAACAACAACAACAAAAAAAGACAAAAAAAAAAAAAUAGACAUGAAAUGAAAUGCAGAUUCUUACUAAAGAACAAGGUCAGAAUUUAGGAAGAUAAUGGUGGAACCCCUCCUCUUUAGAAUAUUUUUUCAGUCAACGAUUAAUGUUAGGGAAAUACAUUACCAAGUGGAUAGACAGAUGACUAGACAAACAAAUCAGAAAAAAAGAAAUUAUGCUUGGAGUUUCCGUCGUGGCCCAGUGGUUAACGAAUCUGCCUAGGAACCAUGAGGUUGUGGGUUGGAUCCCUGGCCUUGCUCAGUGGGUUAAGGAUCCAGUGUUGCCGUGGGCUGUGGUGUAGGUCACAGACGUGGCUCGGAUCCUGCGUUGCUGUGGCUGUGGUGUAGGUUGGCGGCUACAGCUCCGAUUCAACCCCUAGCCUGGGAACCUCCAAAUGCCACGGGAGCGGCCUAAGAAAUGGCAAAAAGACAAAAAAAAAAAAGCAGGUUUGAUAUAAAGCGUCCUAGUUGAUGCAAUAAAAAUGCUUGUCUCACCUUUACAAACCAUCAUGGAAGAGAAUAUGGAAAAGAAUAUACAUGUAUGUAUAACUAAAGGACUUUGCUGUACGGCAGAAAUUAACACAGCAUUGUAAAUCAACUAUACUAAAUAAAAUUUUUGAA